CCUACGGGAGGCUGCAGUGGGGAAUAUUGCACAAUGGGCGAAAGCCUGAUGCAGCAACGCCGCGUGAGGGACGACGGCCUUCGGGUUGUAAACCUCUUUUAGCAGGGAAGAAGCGAAAGUGACGGUACUUGCAGAAAAAGCGCCGGCUAACUACGUGCCAGCAGCCGCGGUAAUACGUAGGGCGCAAGCGUUAUCCGGAAUUAUUGGGCGUAAAGAGCUCGUAGGCGGUUUGUCACGUCUGCUGUGAAAACCCGAGGCUCAACCUCGGGCCUGCAGUGGGUACGGGCAGACUAGAGUGCGGUAGGGGAGAUUGGAAUUCCUGGUGUAGCGGUGGAAUGCGCAGAUAUCAGGAGGAACACCGAUGGCGAAGGCAGAUCUCUGGGCCGUAACUGACGCUGAGGAGCGAAAGCGUGGGGAGCAAACAGGCUUAGAUACCCCAGUAGUC
rnacentral:rRNA from 1 species